CCUACGGGAGGCUGCAGUGGGGAAUAUUGGACAAUGGGCGAAAGCCUGAUCCAGUCAUGCCGCGUGUGUGAAGAAGGCCUUCGGGUUGUAAAGCACUUUCAGUGGGGAAGAAAGCCUUGGGGCUAAUACCCUCGAGGAAGGACAUCACCCACAGAAGAAGCACCGGCUAACUCCGUGCCAGCAGCCGCGGUAAUACGGAGGGUGCGAGCGUUAAUCGGAAUUACUGGGCGUAAAGCGCGCGUAGGCGGUCUGAUAAGCCGGUUGUGAAAGCCCCGGGCUCAACCUGGGAACGGCAUCCGGAACUGUCAGGCUAGAGUGCAGGAGAGGAAGGUAGAAUUCCCGGUGUAGCGGUGAAAUGCGUAGAUAUCGGGAGGAAUACCAGUGGCGAAGGCGGCCUUCUGGACUGACACUGACGCUGAGGUGCGAAAGCGUGGGUAGCAAACAGGAUUAGAUACCCGUGUAGUC
rnacentral:rRNA from 1 species